AAGUCGUAACAAGGUUUCCGUAGGUGAACCUGCGGAAGGAUCAUUUAAUGAGUUGAACCAGGACUUGAUGCUGGUCUACGCUUGUAGGCAUGUGCUCAGUUCUACUCAAUCCAUAUAACACCUGUGCACUUUCAAAGUUGUAGUCCUCCGUCAUGGGAGUCGCAUUUUGUAAUGAGAUGCUGGGACUACGCUUUGCCCAUUAUCACAAACCAAUUUAAAGUCUUGUAGAAUGUAACUAGCCUAUGGGCUUAAUCUAAUACAACUUUCAACAACGGAUCUCUUGGCUCUC
rnacentral:misc_RNA from 1 species